AGCCAAAACCAAACUUCAGAUUUUGUGGCGUUUCUGUGGUGUGGUGCGAUGCUUUCCUGACCCCUGUCUGGCUUAGAUUUUCAUCUAAAGAUCCUCUGCUAGGGCCCACUGAUGUCUGUGGAAAAGUUAUGAUUCGCUUGGAAGAGCUAUAGAUCAGCACAGGAACAAGGAUUUGCCUUUUCUACUGGACAUGAGAAAUAUGGAUCCAUUUUAAUGAAUGCAAAACAAAGUGCAGCUUCGUCCUCCCCGUUGUGGUGAAAAGCCAUCACAGUAGCCGAGCUGUGGAACUUUAUUACUGAAAGCAAAACACGUCUGACAUCCGGUCCUGCAGUGGUUGCUCAGGUAAGGGAAACUCUUCUGUGAGUGGAAGACCCACUAAU
rnacentral:lncRNA from 1 species